UACGAAGGGGGCUAGCGUUGUUCGGAAUUACUGGGCGUAAAGCGCGCGCAGGCGGCUAUCCAAGUCAGUGGUGAAAGCCCGGAGCUCAACUCCGGAACUGCCAUUGAAACUGUUUAGCUUGAGGACGAGAGAGGUGAGUGGAAUUCCCAGUGUAGAGGUGAAAUUCGUAGAUAUUCGGAAGAACACCAGUGGCGAAGGCGGCUCACUGGACAUGUAUUGACGCUGAGGUGCGAAAGCGUGGGGAGCAAACAGG
rnacentral:rRNA from 1 species